CAGGCUUUAUGCAACCACAACAGCAGGGCUGGUGCCUCCACACUGCCACGGUGAGCACAACUGCUCCCAGCCCCUGCUCCCUGCUUGGGGUGUGCUCCCUGUGGCUCCAUGUGCUGCUACCAUGCAUGAUGCAGGAGAAGUCCAUUCUGCCCAGGAAUGCUUGUGGCUCCUGAGCAUUUGCACUGCCCUAAGUCAGUGUGUCCUCAUUGCGCACGUACUCCCCAACAUCUGCCUGGUGAAACACCACGAUUGCCAUGGGGUCCACCUUCCGGCAGUCCUGGGUGGAUUUUGCAGCUACUCCAAAUCCCAGCGGGACGUCAGCCAUGGAGUACACCACCACGCCUUGGUACUGUGCCGUGUUCUCUGUGAUGCGGCCCAGGCCGGACUUCAGCACAUGGUUGCCGUAGAGGAAGGACUGCUCUGAGCCUGGCUUCACCCACACCUUGUACUUGGCAUAGGGUGCAAGGAAGUCCAGGGCAGUGACACUGAGCCGGAACUUCUGUGUCUUGGUGAACUUGCCAAAGCAGGUGCCCAGUGCCACCAGGCUGUCCCGCGGGAUGCUCGCAGCACCUUUCAGCAGCUUCUCGCUCACAUAGUACACGCGGUCACGGUGCAGGCGGAAGCAGUAGGUGCCAUCGGGCCGGUCCACCAGCAGCUGGAUGUUCUCGCCAAUGUAUCUCCCGAGCUUCUCGAACACCGCGCGCGUCUCCGCCUCCGUCAGCGGCCGCAUCGCCGCGCGCCUCACACGCGCCGCCGCGCCGGA
rnacentral:lncRNA from 1 species